GUCUCUCUCCGAUCACUUCCGACCGAGACUAGAAGACCUUUGGGAACAAGUGGAACAGGAACCGGUGCCGAUAUCGUCUAAAUGUCCAUGAGUUGCAUUCACACGUUGAAUCGAGGAUAACCCCGAAUUAACUUCUGGUCCUCGGCCAGACCAACUGUCUCAAGCGUGGUUACACAUUCAACAAGAAUCUCUCUGUACCCGAAAGCAAAUUCUGCCAACUGUUGACCAGCAGGGUAGAUAUUCGUCUCUCUCCGAUCACUUCCGACCGAGACAAGAAGACCUUUGGGGACAAGUGGAACAGAAACCGGUGCCGAUAUCGUCUAAAUGUCCAUGAGUUGCAUUCACACGUUGAAUCGAGGAUAACCCCGAAUUAACUUCUGGUCCUCGGCCAGACCAACUGUCUCAAGCGUGGUUACACAUUCAACAAGAAUCUCUCUGUACCCGAAAGCAAAUUCUGCCAACUGUUGACCAGCAGGAUAGAUAUUCGUCUCUCUCCUCUCACAUCCGACCGAGACUAGAAGACAUUUGGGAAAAAGAAGUACAGG